rnacentral:rRNA from 1 species
GGGAGCUUGCUCCUGGAUUCAGCGGCGGACGGGUGAGUAAUGCCUAGGAAUCUGCCUGGUAGUGGGGGAUAACGUCCGGAAACGGGCGCUAAUACCGCAUACGUCCUGAGGGAGAAAGUGGGGGAUCUUCGGACCUCACGCUAUCAGAUGAGCCUAGGUCGGAUUAGCUAGUUGGUGGGGUAAAGGCCUACCAAGGCGACGAUCCGUAACUGGUCUGAGAGGAUGAUCAGUCACACUGGAACUGAGACACGGUCCAGACUCCUACGGGAGGCAGCAGUGGGGAAUAUUGGACAAUGGGCGAAAGCCUGAUCCAGCCAUGCCGCGUGUGUGAAGAAGGUCUUCGGAUUGUAAAGCACUUUAAGUUGGGAGGAAGGGCAGUAAGUUAAUACCUUGCUGUUUUGACGUUACCAACAGAAUAAGCACCGGCUAACUUCGUGCCAGCAGCCGCGGUAAUACGAAGGGUGCAAGCGUUAAUCGGAAUUACUGGGCGUAAAGCGCGCGUAGGUGGUUCAGCAAGUUGGAUGUGAAAUCCCCGGGCUCAACCUGGGAACUGCAUCCAAAACUACUGAGCUAGAGUACGGUAGAGGGUGGUGGAAUUUCCUGUGUAGCGGUGAAAUGCGUAGAUAUAGGAAGGAACACCAGUGGCGAA